UGUAUCAGAAUUUAUCUUUCUGGUUUGAUUCAUAAUCUUGAAGCUAAUCUUUGUUUCUGAAUUAGGAAAGAGGCUUGACUGUCAGCCCUGAAGCAUCUCCUGGGAUGUCCUUGAGCUCUGAGCGUUCAUGAUGCUGCUUUUUAUUAGGAGCAAGAAGACAAUGAUGAGAGACUCCGGUCACGUUCAGUGACAGUAGCAGGACUGUGCAACAAAAGGCAGAUUGGCUUCUCAAACUCAAAGCUUGCUGGAUAUGGAGGGAACAUAGGACAUCUUCUGAGGGACAAAUAUAUGGAGUAACGCUGUGUUUAGGAGAAACAUCUGGCCUUGAUACAGGGUAUUCACCAGGAAUUUCUGCAUGUUUCAUUAACUACUGCGACAUCGGUACGUCUGUGACUAGGAAGAACUCCACUGAUUUCAUGUUUCUCAGAGAUUUGCAGGAACUGGGGACGGAGUUUAAAUCUGUGAGUUUCAGUUCAGUUUGUGGAAUGGCUUGCAGAAAUAAGAAAUGGAAAACACAAAUGCUCUUGAAAAUGGUAAAAGCAAAUAAGCACCUCUCAGCAAGCACCAUUGAAUAUGCUAAUUUACUAUAUGGAAAUAAGAUUUACCAUCACUUUUUGGGUAUAUAAAAGGGGAGCUGCUAAGACAGUCUGGCCUACUCGAAAAAUUGAAGAGUGAGCUCCUGAGAAACUAAGCUUUUUGCCCUCUGCACUUGUUGCCACCUUGAUCAGGACCGUGAUUGCCUUUGGCGAUGGGGAGAACAGUGGCAGGAAGGAGACCUCCUGGGAAAUAGAAGACAAGGUACAAUUUGACUCUGGCUUUAUGGAAGCCAUGAGCACAUGAACAACACAAUAUCAAAAGCUGCAACCUCUCAAGAAAUUGUUAUCUUACAGACUCAGAAGAGGAAAAAAAAAU
ensembl:lncRNA